rnacentral:lncRNA from 1 species
GGGAAAUUUUCUCUCAGAGUUAAUAUUUCACCUUUAACCAGAGUGAUAUUUCUACACCUAAGACCAUUAAAGAUCCCUGACACUGUAUUUGAGAAAAGGGAUGUCUGUGUCAGAAUGUUCACUGUGAUCCUGGCAUUCUGUCUGAAUGCAUCCUGACAAAAUUGUGGGUCAUUUCCUGGAGCUGGUCUAUGUAGCCACGAAAGAUGCUUUUAAAUGUUUACCAUCCUUUGCAUCUGUGAUUAUGCAACAUGCUUGUCUGAGGAAGAAUUUUAAAUGAGCCUUUAGUUGUUUAGGAUGCACAGUGUGACCUAAAAAACUCUUCCACACUUGUCUCCUCCCCACAUCACAAAUUUCUGUGUCUCUACAUGGUGGCCUGGAUGGAGGAGGUGUGCACGUUGAUCCAGGUAAAUUCAUCGAUAGAGGGGACCACCCAAACUCUCCUACCUAGUGCUUCUAACUCAAUCUGUGUCCCUGCCUCUCUGGGGUCCUGACCGUGCCUGCAAGGUGGUUAAGGGAGAUGAAUAUGAGUAAAUAAAAUGAGUGUUUGUCUGAAACUGUGUUGGGGGAUUAAGCAUUGUGUUCUCCUUUUGAGGAGCAGCAUGCCAACUGGCAGGCCUUGGCUGACUACCUGGGCCGAGCAGAGAAAAGGAGAUGCUCACCCUUGUCGAAGAGAGGCCGGCUGCUUUGAAGGACACAGGGAGGCGAGCCUCUUCUCGCCCAGAAAAACCAGGUGCAGCUUCCUCAGCAGGGAAAGGUUAUGCUUCAUCUGACUUCGUUUUCUCUCUGCAAAUUAAAGGACAAUUUAUGAGUGUCUAGACAGGAAUUAAUCGGAAUAAUAUUGGCUGCUUUUGACCCGAGAGUGCUAUUACAAUAAAGUAUAUACAACACAAAUAUAGGACAAA